CUUGGUCAUUUAGAGGAAGUAAAAGUCGUAACAAGGUUUCCGUAGGUGAACCUGCGGAAGGAUCAUUACCUAGAGUUUGUGGACUUCGGUCUGCUACCUCUUACCCAUGUCUUUUGAGUACCUUCGUUUCCUCGGCGGGUCCGCCCGCCGGUUGGACAACAUUCAAACCCUUUGCAGUUGCAAUCAGCGUCUGAAAAAACUUAAUAGUUACAACUUUCAACAACGGAUCUCUUGGUUCUGGCAUCGAUGAAGAACGCAGCGAAAUGCGAUAAGUAGUGUGAAUUGCAGAAUUCAGUGAAUCAUCGAAUCUUUGAACGCACAUUGCGCCCCUUGGUAUUCCAUGGGGCAUGCCUGUUCGAGCGUCAUUUGUACCUUCAAGCUCUGCUUGGUGUUGGGUGUUUUGUCUCGCCUCCGCGCGCAGACUCGCCUUAAAACAAUUGGCAGCCGGCGUAUUGAUUUCGGAGCGCAGUACAUCUCGCGCUUUGCACCCAUAACGACGACGUCCAAAAGUACAUUUUUACACUCUUGACCUCGGAUCAGGAAGGGAUACCCGCUGAACUUAAGCAUAUCAAUAAGCGGAGGA
rnacentral:rRNA from 1 species